GAUGAACGCUAGCGGCAGGCUUAACACAUGCAAGUCGAGGGGUAUAGUUCUUCGGAGCUAGAGACCGGCGCACGGGUGCGUAACGCGUAUGCAAUCUACCUUUUGCAGAGGGAUAGCCCAGAGAAAUUUGGAUUAAUACCUCAUGGUAUGUGAGAAUGGCAUCAUUUUCACAUUAAAGUCACAACGGCAAAAGAUGAGCAUGCGUCUCAUUAGCUAGUUGGUAAGGUAACGGCUUACCAAGGCAACGAUGGGUAGGGGUCCUGAGAGGGAGAUCCCCCACACUGGUACUGAGACACGGACCAGACUCAUACGGGAGGCAGCAGUGAGGAAUAUUGGACAAUGGGCGCAAGCCUGAUCCAGCCAUGCCGCGUGCAGGAUGACGGUCCUAUGGAUUGUAAACUGCUUUUGUACAGGAAGAAACACUGGUUCGUGAACCAGCUUGACGGUACUGUAAGAAUAAGGAUCGGCUAACUCCGUGCCAGCCGCCGCAGUAACAC
rnacentral:rRNA from 1 species